rnacentral:rRNA from 1 species
GUGGAUACUGCAAGUAGAUAUACCCAUGAUNUCCCACGAAGGCAUCCCGAAUGGGGAUUAAAGAUUUUAUCGGUGAUGGAUGGGGAUGCGUCUGAUUAGCUUGUUGGCGGGGUAACGGCCCACCAAGGCUACGAUCAGUAGGGGUUCUGAGAGGAAGGUCCCCCCACAUUGGAACUGAGACACGGUCCAAACUCCUACGGGAGGCAGCAGUGAGGAAUAUUGGUCAAUGGGCGAGAGCCUGAACCAGCCAGGUAGCGUGCAGGAUGACGGCCCUAUGGGUUGUAAACUGCUUUUAUAAGGGAAUAAAGUGAGCCUCGUGAGGCUUUUUGCAUGUACCUUAUGAAUAAGGACCGGCUAAUUCCGUG